GACAGGGGGGGCAGGCGUUAUUCCUCAUUAAUUAGUGUAAAGGGUUACGUAGAUGUCUUUUUUUAUUUAUUGUAAAAAGCUAAUGAAAAUAUUAGACAGCAAUUUUAAAUACUCAAGAUAGAGUUAUGUUAGAGUCUGAGGAAUUUUUAGUGUAAAGGUUAUGUAUGAGCAAAUUAAAAGGAAUGCUUUCGGCGAAGGCAUCAGGCAGAAUAUAACUGACAUUAAGGUACGAAGGUAUGGGGAGCAAACAGG
rnacentral:rRNA from 1 species